rnacentral:RNase_P_RNA from 1 species
GCGGAAGGCUGGAUGAUCGCGGUGCUGGCAACAGUGUCGAGGAAAGUCCGGACUCCAAGAAGAUACGGUGCCGGGUAACGCCCGGGCGGGGCAACCCGACGGAAAGCGCCACAGAAAAUAGACCGCCGCUCAGACAGGUCGGGCAACCGAAACCAUCACGGGCGGUAAGGGUGAAACGGUGGAGUAAGAGCCCACCGCGCCGCUGGUAACAGGGGCGGCAUGGCAAGCCCUACCGGGAGCAAUGCCAAAUAGGGACCGCGCGUUCGCAAGGACGGGGCCACUUCUGCCCCAGCAGGUUCGGGUUGGCAGCUAUAGCUUUGUUGGCAACAACAAGGUCAGAGGAAUGGUCAUCCAUGGCUGUAGGCUUGCCUGCAGCCGGGACAGAACCCGGCUUACAGGCCUUCCGCGCAU